rnacentral:rRNA from 1 species
UACGUAGGGAGCAAGCGUUGUCCGGAAUCAUUGGGCGUAAAGCGCGCGUCGGUGGCUUCGUAAGUCCGUUGUGAAAGUCAAAGGCUCAACCUUUGAAAGCCGAUGGAUACUGCGGAGCUAGAGUACGGAAGAGGCGAGUGGAAUUCCUGGUGUAGCGGUGGAAUGCGCAGAUAUCAGGAGGAACACCAAUAGCGAAGGCAGCUCGCUGGGACGUUACUGACACUGAGGCGCGAAAGCGUGGGGAGCGAACAGG